CUAAAAUGUCAAGACCCCCAUUCACUAAUGACAUUGUCAAAUCCUUGGUUUCCAAUUGUUUGUUGGUGUUGGAAUUUGGACGGCACUCUGUCAGCCUUGGAAUUAGAAGAGGUUGCCGUUUAACAGUAAACCAAUAGCACCCCACCAAGUUCGCCAAUGGCUUGAUGGAAAAAGUCCGUUUCAGUUCCAGGCAUGUUGUGGAAAUUUAUACUGAAGAUCAUUCAAACUUUGAAGUUGGGCACUAAGUAGUACUCCUAUUCCUUGGACUUUAAUCUCUUCUGAUUCAUGUAUUCUUAGUGAUUCAGUAGACCAGUGGUUAGAAACAAACUUAAGUAUCCACACCACAAGUAACAUGCUCACUGUUAACUGACUGUCUAAAUGCAAUACGGGGUCCUUCCAAGUUCGAUCUAGCCUCUAAUGAAGCAGGUACUAUUUUUGAGUGCAGAUAUUCAAAUGCAAAUUGAUGGUUGUUGUUGUCUGUGUCACACUGAAUUUGAAACUUGAAAUCAUCUACUUUUAGAGUGUAGAUAUUGGAAGACAGUCUGGAAUGAAGUGCUGGACAGUGGAAUUUUGAGCUACAAUAGGUGAUAAGGAAGCUAAAGGGAAAAGCCUGAACUGCAAUAGUUGUAUCUAUUGGAUCUGGAGGGAAAGGAAUUGCAGACUAAUUGUUAAGUAUGACUCCUAUUUUCAGUUAAAUUUAAAAAAUAAUCUUCUAAUUAAACUCUAUUUAUUUAUUUCAAUCAAAUACUGAUUAGUUUAGAUUAUUUUAUUAUUAUUUGACAUAUAAAUUUAGGCUAUAAAUAGGUUCUUUUACAACCUUAGUAAAAACACCCAUUAGAAAUUAGAACUCAUAACACAUUUAGAGAGUUUUGUGUUUACGUUUUGAGGGUUCUUUGUUUUGGGGUUUUUUGGGGUUUAGUUUUAUCUCUAUCUUUUGUACUCUUCGUUCUUUUUCCAUUAUAAUAAAAUUAUCUUUGCCCGUGGUUUUUUUUAUUCUCUUUGGAGGAGAUUUUCACGUUAAAUUUGUGUGUUCAAUUUCUCAAUUUAUUCCACUAUUUUUAUUACUUAUUGCUUAAUCGGGACAAUCCUAACACUAAUACUAUUUAAUAAUACUCAAUCUUAUAUGUAAUUGUUGGAAUGAAGUUGGUUGGUGCUAGAAUAGAAGAUGACAUUGUUAAUAAUAGCUUACAAAUACACGAAAUCAUUACCAAAUAAUAAACUACAACGAAAUAAUCUCAUUAAAAGGAAGUAUUUAGAUGGUUGAACCCAUAGAGAAAAAAUGGCUACUGAUUAAAUAACCUGAUUAUUCUACUUGUUUACACCUUCUUUAGGGAGUAGUUGGGCUUGGACAAUAUGGACAGGAUCUCAUAUGAUUGAGUGCUUUCACGUUUGCUGAUUCGGAAACUGUUGUAUUAAUGUCAAAGAGGUGUUACGGCUGGAUAUUACAACUUCUAAUAUUAUUAUUAUCCCAUUUUAAAGGCUGAUCAAGCCAAAGAUCUGCUGCUGGAUUGCUAAGAUUAUACCUUACGUGAACAAGAGGGUGAAGCUACUUGCCUAAACUCUUGAGGUUUGCUUGAAUUGUAGAAUCGUUUGGGCCAA
rnacentral:lncRNA from 1 species